AGCGUCUGGAAAGGCGUGCGAUACAGGGUGACAGCCCCGUACACAAAAAUGCACAUGCUGUGAGCUCGAUGAGUAGGGCGGGACACGUGGUAUCCUGUCUGAAUAUGGGGGGACCAUCCUCCAAGGCUAAAUACUCCUGACUGACCGAUAGUGAACCAGUACCGUGAGGGAAAGGCGAAAAGAACCCCGGCGAGGGGAGUGAAAAAGAACCUGAAACCGUGUACGUACAAGCAGUGGGAGCACAGAGCAAUCUGUGUGACUGCGUACCUUUUGUAUAAUGGGUCAGCGACUUAUAUUCUGUAGCAAGGUUAACCGAAUAGGGGAGCCGAAGGGAAACCGAGUCUUAACUGGGCGUUAAGUUGCAGGGUAUAGACCCGAAACCCGGUGAUCUAGCCAUGGGCAGGUUGAAGGUUGGGUAACACUAACUGGAGGACCGAACCGACUAAUGUUGAAAAAUUAGCGGAUGACUUGUGGCUGGGGGUGAAAGGCCAAUCAAACCGGGAGAUAGCUGGUUCUCCCCGAAAGCUAUUUAGGUAGCGCCUCGUGAAUUCAUCUCCGGGGGUAGAGCACUGUUUCGGCAAGGGGGUCAUCCCGACUUACCAACCCGAUGCAAACUGCGAAUACCGGAGAAUGUUAUCACGGGAGACACACGGCGGGUGCUAACGUCCGUCGUGAAGAGGGAAACAACCCAGACCGCCAGCUAAGGUCCCAAAGUCAUGGUUAAGUGGGAAACGAUGUGGGAAGGCCCAGACAGCCAGGAUGUUGGCUUAGAAGCAGCCAUCAUUUAAAGAAAGCGUAAUAGCUCACUGGUCGAGUCGGCCUGCGCGGAAGAUGUAACGGGGCUAAACCAUG
rnacentral:rRNA from 1 species